rnacentral:sRNA from 1 species
GAGGACAGCGAGUCCUGACUGCUGGACCCUCUUCCCCCAUAGGACAAAGGAAAAGAGCUCUCUGGGCUUGGCAGUGCUCUAAAGAAUCCCUUUGGGAAUGCUGGCCUCCUGCUAGGAGAGGCAGGCAAACAGCUGAGGCGGUAGGCUUAGGGCCAGAGCCAGGGGAGGGCAGGGUGGUAUAUGGCAACUAACCAGUCAUUCUCCCUCUUCCUCUCAGGCGGGCAGGGCUGGGCAGCGGCCUGAGUCUCAGUGGACUUGUCCACCCGGAGUUGAGUCGGAGCGGCGAGCUGUACAGGCUCUGGAGCAGUUUGCCACUGUGGUGGAGGCCAAGCUGAUAAAACACAAGAAGGGGAUUGUCAGUGAGUGAGCCCUACACCCUUCCGCCCCUCCCUUUCCUCUCCUUGAAACUAACGCCCCC